rnacentral:rRNA from 1 species
CGAGGUGCAAGCGUUGUUCGGAAUCAUUGGGCGUAAGCGCGCGCAGGCGGAUCAGCAAGUCAGAUGUGAAUCUCGAGGCUCAACCUCGAUACUGCGUCUGAACUGCUAGUCUAGAAUGUCGGAGGGGCAGGGAAUUUCACGUGUAGGGUAAAUCCGUAGAGAUGUGAAGGACACCGGAGGCGAAGGCGCCUGCCUGGACGACUAUUGACGCUGAGGCGCGAAAGCGUGGGAGCAAACAGGAUU